GCCCGGCAGCCACGGAGCUGCUGGAUCCCUCGGAGCCGCUGGGAAUUGGGGCUUGAAUCCAGGAGCUAAAGGCCGGAUCCGCAGGGCCAACACUCGGCUGCUCCAUCCCGACCC